AUUCCUAUUCAUUCAUUCUACAAUCACAGAAGAGAACAACAGUCUUUGAUUCUACCACCAAGAAUCAAUCAUACAAAAAAUCAACAACAACAACAACAACAAGAGUUUUGCAAUGGCUUCAAGAAUUGUUCCUCAACAACAACCCAGAGGUGUGUGUUUUCUUCAAUCAUACUAAUUUUGAUGUUUCAUUAAUUUUUCUGUGGUUCAAUGUUUUGUUCCAAGAUUGGAACUUUAUUUGAUGUUUCAUUCAUUUUUCUGGGGUUUAAUGUUUUGUUCCAAGAUUGGAACUUUAUUUGAUGUUUCAUUAAUUUUUCUGUGGUUCAAUGUUUCGUUCCAAGAUUGGAACUUUAGUUUCAUGUUUUAAGGGUUUUGUCCCAAAUCCAACAAAAGGGUCUUGAUUUUUUUUCUGGAUUUUCUGUUUGGAUCUGAGAUUUUGGGUUUAAUUAUUUUGCAAUUGGGGGAGGGAAACCGGUGAAAGAGAACGGUGCAGCAGCUUAAGAAAGGAACCGAAGAGCACUUCUUGAUAUUGGAAAUGUUGUCACUCUAAAAGGUGUUGAAGUCAAGCCAAAUCGCCUUGUCACAAGGAGUUUUUGUGCACAACUACUUGCCAAUGCUCAAGCAGCAGCAGUUAAUGAGAAUAACAAGUGUGUUACAGGGGAGAGGGCCUAUAAAUGUAUGGUUUACUAUGGAACCCAUGGCAGCCAGAGGUUCAAAUACUUAGCUUGGGAUUUUGGAUAGUGUCAGAGUUUACAGGGGCUAGAGCCUAUAAAUGUAUAUGUAUCAGGAAUGUAAGUACGAGUGAAGCAAGGAUGAGGAAUUCCCUACAACUUAGUUUGGCACAAGAAUCUGCACUUUCAUUUUGGUUAUCUCUACUCUGAUUAUGAAUUCUUCACGUUUCUUUGUAUUUUUUGAGGAUAUGUUUUUUUAUUACAAGGACCUGUUUUUGCUUUGGUGUUACAGGGGAGAGAGCUAUGAUUGUACUGUGGGAUUUGGAAGCUUUGAGCCUUUGGAUUCUACGGUGUGGUUCGUCAAAAUAAUGAUCUUCUUUCAUCAUAGCAUGGAGCCUCAAGUUUUGGACCGGAGGGAGUAUCUCAUGUUUGAUCUUCCUGUUAUAUAUUCUGAGAUAUGGAAUCUGAAAAUCAAGUUCUUCGGCAACAGUCUCUGUGAAAACGAUGUCAGAGCACCUUUCUACCCAUGUAUAUGAGAAGAAGUUGGAAAAUGGUCAUCAUUUGGUAGAAGAUCAGAAAGCUAUUGAAACACAGACCGACACACCUGUGAAAAAGUCAACAUGAAAAUGUUGAUUCCCUUAUCAAUUGUGUUAUGAAAAAUAUUGGAUUCCAUCAUGGAAAGCCUAUUGCUGCAUUCACCAUUUACAAAUGCCUUCUCCACUGGAAAUCAUUUGAAGCUGAAAGGACAAGUGUAUUUGAUCGCUUUAUCCAGAUGAUUGGUUCUGCAAUUGAGUUAGAAAACCACCAAAUCCAACAUCCCUAUUUGGCAGAACGACUAUGGGUUUUCGGUCAUCUCCUUCGUCUGCCAACCUUCCUACCCCAUCGGAGGUUGUACGCAAAGUAGAGGCUAAGUAUCCUGCUUUGCUUUUCAAGCAACAGCUCACAACCUACGCGGAGAAAAUAUAUGGUAUCUUGUGGGACAACUUGAAGAAAGAGUUGGCAUCAUUUAUUUCGUUAUGUAUCCAGGUUCCUCCUGUCCUAGUCCAAAAGAUCUUCUCUCAAACAUUUUCAUAUAUUAAUGUUCAACUCUUCAACAGAACCGGUUGAGGUUAGAAGACCACGAUACUGCACCAGAACUAACAUAAAAACAUAUCCGGUCCUAAAAGCAACCUUGGCUCCUGAUGUUGAGUGUGGUUCGUCAAAAUAAUGAUCUUCUUUCAUCAUAUCAUGGAGCCUCAAGUUUUGGUUUGCAUAUUUAUUUUUAAAGCAUAUAUUUUAAUGAUAUUUUAUUUCCUCCGGUGUUGCACGGACGAUAAUACUUUUCUUUCUCAUGUUUGAUCUUCCCGUUUUGUAUUCUGAUUCUUUUUUUUUUUUUUAGGUCUUUUGAUUGAGGUUUGAUUUGGUUCUGACUUUGAUACAUGUUAAUCGAAAAACGACGUUUUCUGUAGUGCAUUAUGUUUUGAAACAAUAACAUUUGAUUAGUAUCAAGCCACGAGUUUAUUUUGGUACCUCUCCUUUGAAUGGGAAUUAUUUUCGUUUCUUUUUUUAUCUGGACGAUUCUUGUUGUCUAGUCUUCUGGAUUUGCUCCUCUGUGAUUUACCAUUACGACUUAUUCUUUCUUAUUAAUGUUGAAAACUAUGCAUGAUUUAAGAUUUUUUAUUUUGUUUUUGUUUUCGUGUUUUGGGAGAGCUUGGUGGGCCUAUCUUUCUUAUGCUGAUUUCUGACUUGGUUUGAAGAACUAUGGUAUUGUUCUUUCUUCUUGGUUCUUUUUCUACAAUCUGUUUGUUACAGCCUAAUAUUAAUUUUCUUGUGGUGUUAACAGAGUAAGAUUUACACGGGUUUGGUAUACCACAAAAGUUUUCUGCUUUUUCAAACACCGAACCUUUUGAAUCACCGUCUUAAGUGUCUUAUGUGGAGGAAUCAACCUUACACGUGAACUAUAAUGUUCAGUUGGUUGUGUUGCAUAUUUUUUCUAGGCUUUAAUUUGGUGAUCUGUACUCAUAUUUGAAUUCUUCACAUUUCAUUAUAGUUGUUUCAGCAUCCACACUUGAUUCCUUUGUGAAAGCUUAAGGUGAGGUUAUCAUAUUCUUCCAGUGUUGAAGUUUUUGCGAGUUUCUGUAACGUUUAAACUCAGUGGUUAACAUACAAAAUUCUGGUGUAACUCUUCCCUUCCCAAGGUAAGGAUUUUCAACAACUUGGUUAGGUGGUGUUUGUUAUCAUGACCUGUUUCAUUGGCCCACAAACUCCUCUGGUAUUGAAGUAGGCUUAGUAAGCUUAAAUUGUGACGUUUCAUAUUGACCACACCAUGAUAUUAAAUUGAUAGUGAGGAUAUGAUGUUGAUCGAUAGUAAAUUCUUGUUGUUUCCAUCUUUAGCAUUUCUGAGAGCAUAUAGUUCGUGAUUUGUUAUUUAUUCUUAGGUGUUGCCGGAGAGGAUAUGAUUUUUAUUUAAGUCUUGAUAUGUUUUUCUCAAAAUCAAACUUCUCUUGACUCUUCUUUUACUCAUCAAGAUUUUGUUUUGUAUAAUUUUUUGAUAUAAUUCUUUGUUUGGUAAUCGAAAGAUAUGUUUAUCCAUUUUGCAGCGGGCAAGAGCUUUCGAUGUCUAGAAUGCAUUCAUAAAAUGGACAAGAGCACACAGCCAAUAGUUUUAAUUUGGUGAUCUCUAGUAAAUUCUUUUUGUUUCAAUCUUUAUCGAUUCUGAGAGCAUAAAUUUCAUGAUUUAUUAUUUAUUCUUAGGUGUUGCUGGAGAGGAUUUGAUUUUGAUUUACGUCUGGAUAUGCUCUUAGAAUUUCACACAAUCAAACUUCUCUUGACUCUUCUUUUACUCAACAAGAUUUUGUUUUGUAUAAUUUUUUGAUAUAAUCCGUUGUUUGAUAAUCGAGAGAUGUGUUUAUCCGUUUUGCAGUGGGCUAUGAAGUUUCGAUGGAAUGCCUUGAUAAAAUAGACAAGAACAUGGAGCAUAAAGUUUUAAUUUGGUGAUCUCUAGUAAAUUCUUUUUGUUUAUCCAUUGCAGCGAGCUGAUUUCUGGAUAUCUCGAACAAUUUGGGAUUAUAAUGAAUAAGAACGAUAAUAGCUACUACAGAUGCAUAAUCAAAUUUACUAUAGAUGUUUCAAUAACUCCAUCGCUUGCGAAUGCAUAUUUUCUUGAUAUCUAUGAAUCAGCAUGUGUAGUGUGUUUUGAAACAAUAACAUUAUAAGCAGCAUCAAGCCUCAGGUUUAUUUUGCUACCAUGUACUUGGGUUGUGAACUAUUUUUAUUUUCAUUUCUAUUCUUAUUGUCUAGUCGAUUUACUUCUUGGUCUAUGUUUGGCUUUUUUAUCUGAUUUCUGACAGUGCAAAAGUUUACAUGAUUCUUUAGGAGUUGGGACAACUUGGCGGUCCUCUCUUUGUAAUGUUGAUUCGCGAUUUUGGUACCUCUCUCUGUAACUUCAGAUUUACUCCGUGGUUUUGCACACAACUUCUGGAAUAACUCUUCCCUUCCCAAGGAUUUAGGAAUUUUGGACAACUUGGUUAGGUUAUGUUAAUUUUACUUCAUUGUUUCUCUGUUGAUUCUUGUUGUUUACUCUCUCGAUCUACAGGAGAGAAAUUAAUGAAUGUGCAACUAUGGCGGUGAUUAUAAUUGGUUGGGGGUUUGGUUUAAUACUACUUAUUAAGCAUCUUUCAUGGUGUAUAUUUUCUUACAAUUGCUUUAAUACUAUUUUUUUUCAAGUUUAUUUCAUUCUUGAGAAUCUGUGUAUAUUUGUCAAGACCCAAUACUAACUCAUAUUUAGUCUGCUAAGCCUAGCCUUUACACUUUGUUAACUUUUCCUCUCUGCUGGGAUUAAUUUGGCAAUGCAAAUUUAGUUUUGAACAUUUCUGCUGGGAUUAUUCUUUGCAAGUUUGGGCGAGAUUAUCAGAUAAUGGCGAUUCAUCAUUGGGAUGUAAUGGCGAUUAUCAAAUUUCUUCGAUGAGUAAUUCUUUAUUAUUUUUACUUUUGAGCUUUGAAUGUAAGACAAAAAUUGAAUGUUGUGUACCUGUUCUUAUGCAGUGUGGUUUUGUCAAAAUAAUGAUGUUCUUUCAUCAUAGCAAUGGAGCCUCAAGUUUUUGUUUGCACAUCUCAUUCAAAAGCAUAUUUUGUUGAUAUUUUAUUUCAUCUGGUGUUAUCAUUUUCUUUCUCUUGUUUGAUCUUCCGAUUUUGUAUUCUGGUUCUUUUUUCUGGUCAUUUGAUUUUGAGGUUUGAUUUGGUUCUGGGUUUGAUACAUGUUAAUUGAAAAAUGACAUUGUUUUCUGCAGUGCAACGUGUUUUGGAACAAUAAUAUUUGAGUAGUGUCAAGCCUCAGGUUUAUGUUGGAACCUCUACUUGUAAUGUGAAAUAUUUUCAUUUUAUUUUUUAUCUGUUGAUUCUUAUUGUCUAGUCUUCUGGAUUUUCUCCUUGAUGAUUUAACCAUUAAUACUUAUUUUUUGUUUUGAAUGUUCACAUACUUCCUGUUCAGCCUAUAAUAAUGUGUGGCUUCUGGGAUCCAGUGGCAGGAAGAGGUUCACAUACUUUCUGCUCAGCCUUGGGAUAGUGUUGGAGCAUGAGUGUGAAGCAUUUAAGAUUCCAGAGUAAAUCUCUUUGCCAUUCCCAAGGAUGAGGAAUUCUUGACAAGCUUGGUUUGGCACUUUUCUUUCCUGUUGAUUUGCUACUUCCUUUGUUAUAAUUUAUUGUUCAUAUCAACUUUCAACUGCCAUGCUUAAUGUUGCUUCCUUUUUUUGUUAAAUAAGUUAAUGAUGGUUCCAACCAGUGCAAUUGGUAUUGUAAUUACCUCAUUGUAAUUACCUCAAGGUAAUUACAAUACCAAUUGCACAUUAAUAAGAAUCAACCAGUGUUAAAUAAGUUAUUUUUUAUCUGUUGCUUCCUUUUUUAAUGUUGCUUCCUUUUUAUCUGGUUGGAAUAAUGUUGCUUCCUUUUUUCAAUUUGUAUUGUAAUUACCUCAUUGGAGUCAAUCAAGUUAGCAAUCCUUGCAAGCUCCUCAAUGAUCCGCUGGUUUACUCCAACCAGUGCAUUAUUUUCCAAUAUGAUUUUAUAUCGUACUAUAUACAAAAGGAUUUGGUAGAUAGGUAAACAGAGAGAGAGAGUGAUUGAUUGUAAAAUUGAUAUAUUAUACAAAAGGGUUAUAGUGUUCCAUUUUUCAUUUUGAAAUACUCAAGACAACACUAAAUCUUUAUGUUUUCCAUUUUUCGCUUUUAUUUUCAGAUUUUUUCCUUGAGGAAGUUUUCAACGACACUUUUGACAUAUGAUGAGACAUCUCAUUUAUUUUUUAAUGAAUGCAACGAAAUGUACUAAGUGAAUGUUUACUGUUGUUAUUGUUGGUGAGACCAGAGGAGUGUCGGGAGCAGCAGACUCUGAUACAUCUCCAUCAAAAGCAACGAGAGUAACAACGGGACAGCGUCGAAAGCAACAAUGAGCCGCAUCUCUAUCAAAACCUUAAAGCAUUAGGGGUACAUGGAUUUGGUGGUAACAGGGUUACAUGGAUUUGGUGUAUGUCCUUUCUCAAAUGUACUGCAACAUGUUAAUUUCGCUGACCGAAGUGGAGAAAUUGGAGAUGAGUGCUUCUGCAGUAUGUUAUAUAUUUUUAACUGUUGCUUAGCCUAAUUGGGCAUGAUUAUCAUUAUUCAUCAUUGCCAUUGGGAUAUAAUUGGUCUUUUUUUGAUAUGUUUAUGUAUUUGUUUUCGAAGAAUUGUUCUUAGCUUGUGGACAGGUUGGUGUGUUGAAGUUUGUGUUUCUUCUGGUGUUGGAGUUUGUGUGUUUCAGAAUUCGGAACCUGCUCUUCCCAAGAUGAAGAAUUUUGGACGACUUGGUUACAUCGGAGGUGUUGUUUACUCGUUAGGAGAGUGGUCCGGGACUCCUGUGUUAGGAGGAAGCCAAAGUCACACAUAAUCUGCAGGCUUUAAUUUGGUUAUCUCUUCGAAGACACCUAAUAAGAUACCCUCUUCAUUAGAGUGGCCAUAGGACUCCUCAGUAUUAGGUGGAAGCCAAAAUUGUAUUAUUUAAUAGGGCUACAUGAUCUUGCAAAUUGGAUGGAAAUUUGGUCAACUCUUCUAAGAAUCUUUACAUUUCAAUAUUUUUUUGAUACUCAGCAUAUACUUUUGUCGGUUCCUGAGUUUUCUUUGUGGGUGUUGCAGGGGAGAGAGCCUAUAAAUAUGUGCUUCACUAUGGAACCCGUGGCAGACGGAGGUUCACUGUUUCUUUUUUUUACUUGUUACUUUGGUCUCCUGAUGUUGAGGUUAUUUUCAAAACAGAGAAAUAAAACUAAAAAAGUUAGCAAUCCUUGCAAGCCCCUCAAUGAUCUGCUUGUUUACUCCAAACAGUGCAUUAUUGUCCAAUAUGAUUUUACAUCCUACUACAAAGGAUUUGGUAGAAAGGUGAAUGGGCAAUUGCUUAACUUGAGAGGAAUGCAAGUUCCUUGCAAUUCUGAUCACCGAAUUGGGUUACAUUGAUUUGGUUUAUUUCACAAGUGUCCUUUCUCAAAUCUGCAAAAUGUUAAUUUUUAUGUCCGAAGUGAAGAAAUUGGAGAUGAGUACCUCUGCGAUACAUUUUUCGGGAUAGUGUUGGGGCAUGAGUGUGAAGCAUUUAAGAUUCCAGAGUAAUGCUCUUUGCCAUCCCCAAGGAUGAGGAAUUCUUGACAAGCUUGCGAGUUGAAGUCUUUGGAUAUGUAGAACAAAUUACGAUUCUUGAUUAAAUUAAAUGGUUGAGAACGGAGAACACAUCCAGAUAAAUCAAAUUUCUUCAAUUUCUUCAAUGACGGGCUAAGAAGUUUCGAUAUCUAGAAUGUGUUGAUAAAAUGGACAAGAACAUGUAGCCAAGAGUUUUAAUUUGGUGAUCUCUGCGGGCUAAGAAGUUUCGAUGUCUAGAAUGACUUGAUAAAAUGGACAACAAUGAAGAAAGAUUCAAUAUAGAUAAAUCAAAUUUCUUCAUGUUCUGUAUUCUUAUUCUUUUCUGCUUGAUAAUUUGGUAUUUUGGUUGUGCUUGGUUUCAUUCUUGGAGUUGCUGGUUUUAUUGUUUGAUUUAAUUAAUAUUAUUAUCAAGUUCAUUUUGGUUUUAAUAGACUUGUUCUUCCAAUUCCUCUUAUUUUUCAGAUAUUAUUCUUCGAGUACAAAUGGGUGUUUUGCUUUUAAUCUGUUGGCAACACGCUGGAGUUCUGAUUUGAAUUUUUCCUUUUUACGAAGCUUGAUGCAUGAUUAUCACCCUCGGGUUGAAGUUUUUGUGAAGCUUACUGCAGGGUAUUGUGUUUUGACAUCAUUAGAUAUAUUUUGGUAAACUUUUCAAUUCCUCUAUUCUCUUUGGACUCAAGCCUUGGUCUGUUUUCUUAUAUUGGGACUCAAUUCCUCUAUUCUCUCUUUGUAACUAUGAUAUUCUGAUCAGCGACUUGGUUUGGAGAAUUAUGCUACUAUUAUUUCUUUAUUCUUGGUUUUUUUACAACUACUUGUAAUAGUGUAAUUUUGUUGUACAUAUCUGAUGUUCACAGGGUUACAUGGAUUUAUUGCAUUUCAUAAGUGUGUCCUUUUUCAAUUGCACUGCAACAUGUUAAUUUUAUUGUUCUCCUUCUAAUUUCUUUUCAAUCAAAGGGUUAACUUGUUCUAAUUUCUUUUCAAUCAAAGGGUUAACUUGUUCAUUUCUUUGUUAGUUUGGAAACACAAAAAUGCGGCUUGGUUGUGCAUGACGAACAAAGGGUAAGGUAAUUAGCUUUUGGAAGCUGCAAAUGGUGAACAUGUAAAAGCUUCAAAUGUUGAUACUAUUUUAUUUUAUUCUUGUUUGGUUUUAUAACAUGAUUAUAUGCUACCUUGCCUCUAGAGUUUGUGGUUUUAUUAUAUGCUAUCCUUUUGUAUUUCUUGUGCAUAUAGGAUAGUGAUUUUUAAUUCAAUUUGAUGUUUAAAAAAAAAAUGGUCUGCUUCUACUAAACUGGGGCUGGUGGUCCUUGUAUAAUGUUACAUAUUUUGUUGUGUAUAUUGUGUUUAAGUUAUAUGGACAUAGGCUUAACUAGCUCUAAGAUUGUGUUUGUAGUGUCUCUUUGUAAAUGUUGGUUUUGUAAUUAAAGUUAUUGACAUAUAAAUGGUGGUUGAUUGUUUGGGUUUCUAUUUUGACUAUAUCACUAGGAAUGAGAAAUAGAUAAAAUCAAAUAUGAGGAAGAUGUGCUGCUCUUUUCUCUUCCUAGAUCCUUUGAAUCUAUUCACUUAAAUAUUUAGGUUACCAUCAUAAGGGCCUUGCAACAAGUCUCUUGAUUGUGCACCAAAUAUGUUAAGGGUCAUGCUUCUGAUGAUUUUUUGGGUUUUUUACCUCUUGUCGCAGUGCAGCAUGUUUGCAGUGCCUUCUUCAUGGUACCCUGCUCUGCUCCGGCUAAGUUUGAACCAGAUCUAACAAUGAUAGAGCUGCUUAUUUUUUUAAAAAAAAAUUAGAACUUAUUAACUCGGUUAUUUCAUUACCCGUCUUAAGAACUUGUUUUCUUAAGUCAGUGCAAAAUCCGACUUAACAGACCAAAACUUGUUAUGUCACCUUUUAUUAAGUCAGGUUCGGAACUGACUUAAAAAGCAUUUUUUAUACUAGUGUUUGGUUUGCAUAUUUCUUUUUAAGCAUAUAUAUAUUUUCUUGAUAUUUUAUUUCCUUUGGUGUUGCAGGGACGAUAAUAAUUUUCUAUCUCUUGUUUGAUCUUCCGGUUUUGUAUUCUGAUUCUUUUUUUUUUUCUGGUCUUUUGAUUGUGAGGUUUGAUUUGGUUCUGAUGUGAUACAUGUUAAUUGAAAAACGACGUUGUUUUCUGCAGUGCAGUAUGUUUUGAAACAAUAACAUUUGAUUAGUACCUCAGGUUUAUUUUGGUACCUCUACUUUGAAUGUGAUUUAUUUGUUUCUUUUUUAUCUGGCCCAUUCUUGUUGUCUAGUCUUCUAUUUUAAUGAUCAGCGCCUACUAUGAAUUGUUUGGGUUUUAAUUGAUUGCUCUUCCAAUUCUCGUUUGAUUAUAUGUGUAAUCUUUUUGAUUUGUUGAUAUAAUUUGUCGUCCAAUAAAUUUGCUAUCGUUGUUAAAAAUAAAAAGAAUAUUGAGAUAUUCGUUGAUCCAUUUUUGCAAUGAGCUUAUUUCUGAUUUUUGGAUAUCUAGAACAAUUUGCAAUUCUUGAUGAUAAUGAACAAGAAUGAUAAUGGCUACAGAUACAUGGAUAACAUUUCUUUGAUGAGUCGUUCUUUGUUAUUUUAUUUUUGAGCUUUGAAUGUAAGAUACAAAUUGAAUGUUGUUUACCGUUCUUAUGCAGUGUGGUUUUGUCAAAAUAAUGAUAUUCUUUCAUCGUACCAUGGAGCCUCAAGUUUUGGUUUGCAUAUUUCUUUUUAAUGCAUAUUUUCUUGAUAUUUUAGUUCCUCCGGUGUGUUAAUUUUCUUUCUCUUGUUUGAGCUUCCGAUUUUGUAUUUUGGUUCUUUUUUCUGCAGCGCAGUGUGUUUUGAAAUAAUAACAUUUGAGUAGUAUCAAGCCUCAGGUUUAUUUUGGAACCUCUACUUGGAAUUUGAAUUCUUUUCAUUUCAUUUAUCAGUCAAUUCUUAUUGAUUUACCAUUAAAACUUAUUUUUUCUUAUGAAUGUUCACAUACUAUCCGUUCAGCCUAUAUGUGUGGCUUGCUAGGUUAGGGAUCCAGCUGCAGGAAGAGGUUCACAUAGUAUCAGCUCAGCCUUGGGAUAAAACAAUUGUUUUACUUGAAUGUGCGUAUUUGUUUUGGGAUAGUGUUGGAGCAUAAGUAUGAAGCAUUUAAGAUUCCAGAAUAAAUCUCUCUGCCAUCCCCGAGGAUGAGGAAUUCUUGACAAGCUUGGUUUGGCACUUUUUUGUCCUGUUGAUUUGCCACUUCCUUUGUUAUUAUUUUUUAUUUCUAUUUUCUUGCCAUUAUUUAGGAAAUGGUUGUUUUGGCAUACUUUUUUUGCUCUCUUGACUCUUGUUUUAUGAAGAAUUGUUUGCAUAACUUUUGGAUAUAAUUCUUCAUUGGAUGAUUGAGAGGUAUGUGUUUAUCCAUUUUGCAGCGAGAUGAGGUCUUUGGGUAUGUAGAACAUUUUGUGAUUCUUGAUUAAAUGGUUAAGAACGGACAACAGAUCCAGAUAAAUGAAGAAUUAUAUCCAAAAGAAACAUUUCUUUAAUGGGUCAUUCUUUAUCAUUUCUAUUUCGUCGCUUUGAUGGCAAGACAUACAAAUCGAGCAGUGAAAAUGUUUUUCUGCAGCACACGACUUCUUAAGAGCAUGGAGCCUAGAGUUUUAAUUUGGUGAUCUCUAGUAAAUUCUUUUUGUUUCAAUCUUUAUCGAGUCUGAGAGCAUAUAUUUCAUGAUUUGUUAAUUAUUCUUCGUUGUUGCAGGAGAGGAUAUGAUUUUGAUUUACAUCUUGAUAUGCUUUUCUCAGAAUUUCACACAUUGAAACUGCUCUCGACUCUUCUUUUACUCAACAAGAUUUUGCUUUGUAUAAGUUUUUGAUAUAAUUCUUUGUUUGAUAAUCGAGAGAUGCGUUUAUCCAUUUUGCAGCGGGAUAAGAAGUUUCGAUGUGUAGAAUGCCUUUGAUAAAAUGGACAAGAACAUGGAGCCUACAGUUUUAAUUUGGUGAUCUCUAGUAAGCUCUUUUGGUUUCAAUAUUUAUGAUUCUGAGAGCAUAUAUUUCAUGACUUGUUAUUUAUUCCUUGGUGUUGCAAGAGAGGAUAUGAUUUUGAUUUAUGUCUUGAUAUGCUUUUCUCAGAAUUUCACACAAUCAAACUUCUCUUAAUUCUUUGGUUGAUAAUCGAGAGAUGCGUUUAUCUGUUUUGCAGCGGGCUAAGAAGUUUCGAUGUCUAGAAUGGCUUGAUAAAACUUCUCUUGACUCUUCUUUUUCUUAAAAAUAUUUAAUUUGUAUAAUUUUUUGAUAUAAUUCUGUGUUUGAUAAUCGAAAGAUGCAUUUAUCCGUUUUGCAGCGGGUUAAGAAGUUUCGAUGUCUAGAAUGGCUUGAUAGAAUGGACAAGAACAUGGAGCCUAGAGUUUUAAUUUGGCGAUCUCUAGUAAAUUCUUUUUGUUUCAAUCUUUAUCGAUUCUGAGAGCAUAUAUUUCAUGAUUUGUUAUUUAUUCUUUGGUGUUGCAAGAGAGUAUAUGAUUUUGAUUUACGUCUUGAUAUGCUUUUCUCAGAAUUUCACACAAUCCGACUUGGUUUCAUUCUUGGAGUUUGCUUGCUUUUAUUGUAAUGAUUUGAUAUUAUUACUGAGUUUGUUAUAGUUUUAAUUGACUUGUUCUUCUAAUUCCGCUUAUGUUUCAGAUAUUAUUCUUCGUGUAUCGAUGGGUGGUUUUUGUUUAAUCUGUUGGCAACACGUUGGAGUUCUGAUGUUAAUUUUUCUUUUUUGUGAAGCUUGAUGCAUGGUUAUCACCUGUGGUUGAACUUCCUAUUUUGUGAAGCUUACUGAAGGGUUAUUUCUUUCUGUCAUAGCCUUACUAGCAGGCUGGUUACACCUACAACCGAAAUGGAAACCGAGCGUUUCGUGGUUUAAAAAUGCCGAAUCCCGCCUUAAUCAUCAUUUGUCAGGACUAUUUGGAGUCAGUGUGUUUUAAAAUCAUUAGAUAUAUUAUGGGUUACAUGGAUUUGUUGUAUUUCAUAUAUAAGUGUCCUUUCUUAAUCGCACUGCAACAUGUUAAUUUUGUUGUCCGAAGUGGAGAAAUUGGAGACGAGUGCCUUUGUGAUAUGUUUUUUCUGGCUCUGUUAUAUAUUUUCAACCGUUGCUUGGCUUAAUUUGGCAAUCUGAACAAUUUUGCAAUCAUGCUCCUUGGUUCUUCUCUGCAAGCCUGGGGGAGAUUAUCAGUAUUCAUCAUCAGGAUAUAAUUGGUCAUUUUAUAAUUGCUAGUGUUGAAGUUUGUGUGUUUCAGUAUGCAAAACAUGAGUACAGUAUUCUGGAAUAACUCAUUUGCCUUUCCUGAGAUGAAGUAUUUUGGACGAUGUAGGUGCCAUUUGUCUGAUGACUUGGUAAUGACUCGUUGGGAAAGUUUUCUUUAAUCUUCUUUUACUUGUUUGAGUGGUUUCAAUUGGUAUUAGUUAUUUAGAUGGUGAUGAUGUUGAUACUCCAAAAAAGAUAUCCUUUUGGUUAUAGUGGUCCAAGACUCCUCUUUGUUAGGAGGAAGCCAAAAUUGUGUCACACAUCAUUUGCUUAUCUCUUCUAAGACUCUUUCCAUUUCAGUCUACGUUUGAUACUCAGCAUCUACUUUUGUCAGUUUCGUUAAGUUUUCUUUGUGGGUGAAACAGGGGAGAUAACCUCUGCAUGCCCAUGGAACCUGAGGCAGGCAGAGGCUCUCAUAUUAAUUUGUGCUUUAGGAACAAUAUUAUGAAGCAUUCCCGUAAGAUGAAGAAUUCCAGACAGUUUGGUUUGGCACUAUUUUGUUGUGUUGAUCUACCGAUUCCUAUUUUGUGCUUCAUAAUUUGUUUCUUCUAUUUUCUUGUCAUUUGUGAUAUAUAAGAAUAAUAAUCCUCUCUCUCAAAUAGUUAUUCCUUACAAAAUCUGGAAUUGGAGCAAGAACUUGGUAUAGGAUUUGGUUGGAUGAAUGUCUAUUGUUGUUGUUGUUGUGCCCAAUGGAGCACAAGAAUCUGCAAUUGUCUGUUGUUGGUUGUGCUUUCAUUUGGUGAUUUCUACUCUAUGAAUUCUUCACACUUCUUGUCGCUUUGAGGAUCUCGUUUUCUCGAGUUUCCUUUGGGUUUUACAGGUGGAUAUGUGCUAUGAAAGUUGUGGCGGAGAUUAUCAAGGAUGUGUUUUUGCUUUUGUGUACAGGUUUAAGAGGCUAUGACUGUACUGUGGCCAUUCAAAAGAUGCAGUGAACAUUGGAGGUGCUUUGAGCCUUUGGAUUAAACGGAAGAUGUACAAUUCCUUCGGCUUCUAUCAACUGCCUCUGCGCUUUGUACUACUUGCAUUCAUGCUUCUCUCAUUCCUUCUUGGGAUAUAAUUGGUCUUUUUCUUACUUAUAUGUAUUUGUUCCCGAAUGAUAGUUCUUUGAUUGCGUGCAAGCUGGUGUUGAAGCUGUUUAUUUCAGUGUCCAGAACCUGAGUAGUACUCUAUCAUAAGAUAUUAUCAAGGACAUUCUUGCUUUGGUGUUACAGGGGAGAGAGCCUGUGAAUGUUUUAGCUUUGGUCAAUUUUCCUUGAAUCAACUUGGUGGGCCUCUCUUUGUACUUCUGAUCUGCGACUUGGUUUGAGGAAUUAUGAUACUAUUCUUUCUUAUUGAGUACAACAUGAUAUUGCAAAUUAGAAUGAAAUUUGUUGUGCAGAUGGUGUUGUAAGCUUUAAUUUGGUCAUCUCUACUAAGAAAGACUCUUCAUAUUUAUAUCUUUUUUAUACUCAGCAACUAUUAUGCGAGACAUCUAUGAAUGUGUGGUGUACUGUGGACUGUGGCUAGCAGAGGUUAAAUACUAUCUAUUCAGUUUUGGGAUAAAAUUAGUAAUUUUUUUUGCAUAUCUCUAUUUGUUUUGGGAUUGAAGAUAUGCUUAUGAUGGUGUCCUGUCAAUUCAAAUAUCUUCAAUAAGGCAUUCUUUAUCAUUUCUAUUUCUUUUCUUUGAUGGCAAGACAUACAAAUUGAACGGUGAAAAUGAUGUUCUGCGCACGGCUUCUUCAGAGCAUGAAGCCUAGAGUUUUAAUUUGGUGAUCUCUUGUAAAUUCUUUUUGUUUCUAUCUUUAUUGAUUCUGAGAGCAUAUAUUUCAUGAUUUGCUAUAUAUUCUUUGGUGUUGCAGGAGACAAUAUGAUUUUGAUUUACGUCUGGAUAUGCUUUUCUCAGAAUUUCACACAAUCAAACUUCUCUUGACUCUCAUAUCAUGAUUUUUGUAUAACUUUUUGAUAUAACUCUUCGGUUGGUAAUCGAGAGAUGUGUUUCUCUGUUUUGCAGCGGGCUAAGAAGUUUCGAUGUCUAGAAUUACUUGAUAAAAUGGACAAGAACGGAGAUAUUCAAUAUAGAUAAAUCAAAUUUCUUCAUGUUCUACAUUCUUAUUCUUUUCUGCUUAUAAUUUGAUAGGUGCUUUGCGUUUAAUCUGUUGGCAACUCGCUGGAGUUCUGAUGUGCAUUUUCCUUUUUUACGAAGCUUAAUGCAUGAUUAUCACCCUCUGGUUGAACUCUAUAAUUUUGUGAAGCUUACUGCAAGUGAAUAAGUUUUGGAGAAAUUGGGACAGUUUUGUGGGGCUCUCUUUGUAACUAUGAUAUUCUGAUCAGCGACUUUGUUCGGAGAAUUAUGCUACUAUUAUUUCUUUAUUCUUGGUUUUUCUACAUUUACUUGUAAUUUUGUAGUAGAGUUACAUGGAUUUGUUGUAUUUCAUUAGUGUCCUUUCUCAAUCGCACCGCAACAUGUAAACUAUGUUGUCCGUAGUGGAGAAAUUAGAGAUGAGAGCCUUUGCGAUAUGUUUUUCUGGCUCUGUUAUAUAUUUUCAACUCUUGCUAGGCUUAAUUUGGCAAUCUGAACUUAGAUCUGAAUAUUUCAGCAAUCUGAACUUAGAUCUGAAUAUUUCAGCAAUCAUGCUUCUUGAUUCUUCUAUGCAAGCUUGGGGGAGAUUAUCAGUAUUCAUCAUUCGGAUAUCUUUGGUCAUAUUUUUUAUAUGUAUUUGUUUUCGAAUAAUUAUUCUUAGAUUGUGUACAAGCUGGUGUUAAGGUUUGUGUGUUUCAGUAUGCAAAACUUGAGUACAGUUUCCUGGAAUAACUCUUUUCCCUUCUAGAGAUGAAGAAUUUUGGACGACAUGGGUGUUGUUUGUCUGAUAAUUUGAUCGUUGGAAAAGGUUUUCUAUUAUCUUCUUUUACUGGUUUGAGUGGUUUCAAUUGUUAUUAAUGAUUUAAAUGAUGAUUGAUACUGAUGAUACUCCUAAAAAGAUAUCCUUUUGGUUACAGAGGUCCGGGACUCCUUUGUGUUAAGAGGAAGCCAAAAUUGUGUCACAUCAUGUGCCGGCUUUAAUUGGGUUAUCUCUUCUAAGACUCUUUACAUUUCAGUCUAUGUUUGAUACUCAGCAUCUAAUAUUGUCAGUUUCAUUUAGUUUUGUGUGUGGGUGAAACGGGAGAUAACUAGUAAAUGUGUGGGGUGCCUGUGGAACCUGAGGCGGACAGAGGUUCUAAUACUUUUUUUGUGCUUUAGGAACGUCAGUAUUACAUUUUCAAAACAACGAAGGCAGAUAUUGCACGAACGAGUAGUAGCUAAUCUAUGGCACCCAGGUCAGUAUUAGAUUUUAUUGCGACCAAGUUUCAAAUGAUGAACAAUACCUAGGGUUUCCUUCUCUUUUUUUUCCAAUCUAAAUUGUGAGCUUUCGUGAUUUGGUUUGUGUGUCCUAACUUUUGGUUUUAUGGUAUUGAAUUAAGAAAUAGUGGUAAGAAAUAUGCGUACAUUCCUUUCAAUCUUCUUGUAUGGUCUUCUUUUAUUGUUAAGAAAAAUAUAAGAUAUUUUGCAUAAUCUACUUGGUUAGGAAACUCUAGAGCCAACAUGAAUGCAUGCCAGAGAUUGCUUAAACAUUAGUCGCGCAGUCUUCUAGGUGGUUUUGCCAAAAAAAUAAAAUAAAUGAUGAUGCUACCGGUUCUGCAAAAAUCGUUUUUUUAAUUGGUUAAAUGUAUGUGCACCAUACUUAACUGAUUACCCCCAAGAGGGACAAGGCAGCAUCACAUAGCAGAAUUUCAGUGAUGACAAAUAGGAAUUUUUUGCAGUACUAAACAUGUCUUAUUUCUUCUCAUACUAAAUAUCAUUUUACUUAUUGUGUUAAAAUUUGUAAUAACCUUAUCAUAAAAGGCACUUAAAUAAAUGGAAAAUAUCUUGAUAAUGCACAGGUCGAGACAACUUGUGAAAAAAACUAUGCUUUUAAUUAGAAGUGGGUGUACCAAGGGUUAAACUCUAGACUACUUGUUCAUUAAGGCUUUGAUACCAUAUCUAGAACCAACUAUCUCAAAAGCUUGUGAAUGGUAUCAAAGUAUCUUAACAAUGGUAUUGUCGUAUUGGUACCCCAAGUGUCUGAGAGACCUAGAGACCUAGUAAUUCUCCUAUUAGAGCCCUACUUAUAUCUUCUUAUGUAUUGUGGGUCUACCAACAUAAGUGACUCGCCAUGUUAGUGUUGACUUGAUCAAAAUUAGACUUUUGCAAAAGUGGAUAAACAUAAGGGUCAGAAGUGCUAUU